GCAUGUUCACAUGAUUAAAGGUAUUCCGGUAGACGAUGGGGAUGCGUUCCAUUAGAUAGUAGGCGGGGUAACGGCCCACCUAGUCUUCGAUGGAUAGGGGUUCUGAGAGGAAGGUCCCCCACAUUGGAACUGAGACACGGCCCAAACUCCUACGGGAGGCAGCAGUGAGGAAUAUUGGUCAAUGGGCGAGAGCCUGAACCAGCCAAGUAGCGUGAAGGAUGACUGCCCUAUGGGUUGUAAACUUCUUUUAUAAAGGAAUAAAGUCGGGUAUGCAUACCCGUUUGCAUGUACUUUAUGAAUAAGGAUCGGCUAACUCCGUGCCAGCAGCCGCGGUAAUACGGAGGAUCCGAGCGUUAUCCGGAUUUAUUGGGUUUAAAGGGAGCGUAGAUGGAUGUUUAAGUCAGUUGUGAAAGUUUGCGGCUCAACCGUAAAAUUGCAGUUGAUACUGGAUAUCUUGAGUGCAGUUGAGGCAGGCGGAAUUCGUGGUGUAGCGGUGAAAUGCUUAGAUAUCACGAAGAACUCCGAUUGCGAAGGCAGCCUGCUAAGCUGCAACUGACAUUGAGGCUCGAAAGUGUGGGUAUCAAACAGGAUUAGAUACCCUGGUAGUCCACACGGUAAACGAUGAAUACUCGCUGUUUGCGAUAUACAGCAAGCGGCC
rnacentral:rRNA from 1 species